UAACCAGGAAUAGCGGGGCCGCCGGGGAC
rnacentral:sRNA from 1 species